rnacentral:rRNA from 1 species
UGGUUUUUGAUUCUAGUUGCUCU